CAUACCCAGCGCGGGCAGCCCUGAGCACGGGCAUACCCAGCGCAGGGAGCCCUGAGCACGGGCAUACCCAGCGCAGGGCAGCCCUGAGCACGGGCAUACCCAGCGCAGGGCAGCCCUGAGGGCGGGGGCCGUGAGCUCGGCCAUACCCAGCGCGGGGCAGCCUUGAGCGCAGGCCGGGGAGGCCGCGCCGCGGGGCUGUGUGAGCUUCAGGAGGUGUUUCUAAUGCCACACUGGGGGCUCUCGCUCGCCCUGACCCCGGCCCAGCGUAGUUCCCGGCUCGUGGUGCAGCCCUUCAGGGUGACCCCGCACGGCCCGGCGCCUGCCCUCGCGAAGGUGUGGCUGCUCCCUGCGGUUUCCUGGAAUCCCACACGAGUCUCUGCAGUCCACAGGGUUUAAAAAAAGUGACAGGAAAAAUCCAUGGAAGAGAAAUCUCUUGAGGUUGUGGAAUAGAAAGACACCACUCUCUGAAGCUCCUGAAGUUUCAUAGCAUACUUUCCUUGAUUUUUACGCUCUUCCCUGACAUCUGCUCUUGCUCAUUCUUGGUGAGAAAGGAAGAUCAAAAGAAUAGUUUUCGCUACAUUUGGCCUCAGCUGGAUUUUGUGAUAUUAAAGGCUGCCAGAUCUCCUGACUGGGUGAAGAGAACAUCAGAAGAGACUCUUCCUGAACCUCACAAGCAGUGUGGCCUCAUAAUUUGGCUGUCCAGGCUGAAUGUCUCAAGUAAAGGCUCGUGUGCUAAGAGGAAAUAGUCCAGGUAGAUGCAGAAGGCCUAAUUAUGGUCAACCUAACUGCCAGAAAUGGAGGGUCAUGGAGGAUCAGUAGGAAAGCAUGGUGGGAUUAAUACAACCUGGAGACAUGGCCUAAACCUGCUGAUAACAUCAGAUUCGUAGUCACUGCCAGCUCACUCUCACUGCUGAUAUGCAGCAAGUGCAGAACAGCACUGAAAAUUGAAGUGCUUAUCACUUUUAUUAAAUAAUGUGAGUCCAGACAUUUUUUAAUUGUGCACCACUUGCACAAAUUAUGAAGCAAUGUAUCAAUAAUAGUCUACUAUUUGGAAUAGUUGGAUUAAAAAUAUUUUAUUUGCAACUCCAUAAGGGUACUGUUGUUUCUUAGUGAUUAAUGCAUGUAUUUUUAGUCCGCAUUGAGAAUUUAUAUACUUCUGCAUCUGAAACUUUGAUCUCAGCUUCUCUGGGGAGUUGUUAAUUGGCAACAUUUCAUUACGUUGCCCAGAAUCUGGAAGU